GAUGAAGAACGUAGCGAAAUGCGAUAAGUAAUGUGAAUUGCAGAAUCCAGUGAAUCAUCGAAUCUUUGAACGCACAUUGCGCCCGCCAGCAUUCUGGCGGGCAUGCCUGUUCGAGCGUCAUUUCAACCCUCGACCUCCCUUUGGGGAAGUCGGCGUUGGGGACCGGCAGCACACCGCCGGCCCUGAAAUGGAGUGGCGGCCCGUCCGCGGCGACCUCUGCGUAGUAAUCCAACUCGCACCGGAACCCCGACGCGGCCACGCCGUAAAACACCCAACUUCUGAACGUUGACCUCGAAUCAGGUAGGACUACCCGCUGAACUUAAGAAUAUCAAUAAGCGGAGGA
rnacentral:misc_RNA from 1 species